rnacentral:rRNA from 1 species
UACGGGGGGGGCAAGCGUUGUUCGGAAUUACUGGGCGUAAAGGGUUUGUAGGUGGCCCGCUAAGUCACACGUGAAAUCCCUCAGCUUAACUGGGGAAGUGCCGUGGAUACUGCGAGUCUGGAGGAGGGUAGGGGCAUCUGGAACGCUGGGUGGAGCGGUGAAAUGCGUUGAUAUCCAGCGGAACUCCGGUGGCGAAGGCGAGGUGCUGGACCCUUUCUGACGCUGAGGCGCGAAAGCCAGGGGAGCAAACGGG